CGACCCGGGGCUGGGCGGAGGGGGCGGAGGGGGCGGCGGAGCGCGGGCCGAGCGAGGGCUUGCCUGGAGAGGGCUCGGCCGGCCCGGCGGCGGACCUGGGAAGCGGGUGGAGGGUGCUCUCCUCCUUCCACACCCCGCCCCGGAGGGGCAGAGCGCUGCGCGCGGCGGCGGCGGCUCGGUGCCCGGCGGGCGGGCGGCCCGUCUGCGCGGCCCGGGCGGGCCUGCGGUCAGGGAUGAGGACUGCGCCUCCGCGCCGCAGAGCGCCGGGGCUGCGCGCGGGCCGGGCGCCGGCCGCCGCUGCCGUUCCGGGAGCUCGAUUGCAUCCGCCAGCGCGGCGAGCGGAGCGGGGCCCUCGGAGCCGGAGCCAAGAAAUCCUCACUGCUCAAGAAGCUGUGCAGCGACCCAGCUGAGGGCCGACUCCCCAGGCUCCACUCGGGACCAUGAGAGCAGGCUUCUCCGCGGCCCCCCGAGGGGCGAGGAUGGCUGCCCAGCCUACUCCCCGAAGACCCCCUGGGACCGCCGCCUCCUCCU
rnacentral:lncRNA from 1 species